rnacentral:piRNA from 1 species
UAAUUACCACGAUGCUUUCUUCUCCAC